rnacentral:rRNA from 1 species
AUGGCUAGCAACGAUGAAGGACAGGGUUCUGGUGACUGCGACAACGUCUACCUGGCGGCAGAAGAAUUUUUGAGGGAAGCCGACGAUCAAGAGUUGAUGUUGCUGGGUCCACCUGUCACAUCGGAGAUUGAGACCGACAUCGAGACCGGCGCUGAGACUGAGACCGGCGCCGAGACUAGCGGAGCCGGUAUAGAACCGAAAGCAAAGAGGCAACGGCUUCCUAACAAGCUCAAGACUACUAGACUGGUGGUCACGGAGGUGGACGACGACAAUUUUGAGCCAAACGCGCCCGAGGAAGUGCGCGCGUGCUACGGCAAUCAAAUAGGCUGCACCAUACGGACAACCGCCACCAUCAACGAUGAGAAACUACAGAAGAUAGAUAAUAUGAGGCCCUCCCUCCUAAAGAAGCUGCACCAGAUAUUCUUGUUCCCGGGUCGGAAUGAAAAUGAUUAUAAAGAUCCAGAUAAGGACCCGACAAUGAAGAAGAUAAACAAACACGCCAUGACCAAGUUUAGCGACGCGUUGGCCGCCUGGAAAUCAAGGGUGAAAUAUCGGAUCGUCAACAAAAAGGAACCCUACUCCGAGAUUGUAAAGGAUAAUCCAACAAUCACGACAGAGAACUUUGAAAUAUUCAAGGCGGCUUGCGAGGCCGAAGCUGCCAAAAAAAAGUCGAAGUACAUGAAGGGGCUAAAACAGAGGAACAUUGGGUGCCACCACCUCGGAAGCCGUGGUUACGGCGGGAAGAGGUCCAUAUGA